UACGAAGGGGGCUAGCGUUGCUCGGAAUUACUGGGCGUAAAGCGCGUGUAGGCGGGCGACUAAGUCGGAUGUGAAAUCCCUGGGCUCAACCUAGGAACUGCAUUCGAAACUGGUCACCUAGAGUGAUGGAGAGGAAAGCGGAAUUCCCGGUGUAGAGGUGAAAUUCGUAGAUAUCGGGAAGAACACCGGUGGCGAAGGCGGCUCACUGGCUCAUUACUGACGCUCAGGCGCGAUAGCGUGGGGAUCAAACAGG
rnacentral:rRNA from 1 species